UACGUAGGGGGCGAGCGUUGUCCGGAUUUAUCGGGCGUAAAGAGCGUGUAGGCGGCCAGGUAGGUCUGCUGUGAAAACUCGAGGCUCAACCUCGAGACGUCGGCGGAAACCAUCUGGCUAGAGUCCGGAAGAGGAGAGUGGAAUUCCUGGUGUAGCGGUGAAAUGCGCAGAUAUCAGGAAGAACACCCGUGGCGAAGGCGGCUCUCUGGGACGGUACUGACGCUGAGACGCGAAAGCGUGGGGAGCGAACAGG
rnacentral:rRNA from 1 species